rnacentral:misc_RNA from 1 species
GAUGAAGAACGUAGCGAAAUGCGAUAAUUAAUGUGAAUUGCAGAAUUCCGUGAAUCAUCGAGUCUUUGAACGCACAUUGCGCCUCAUGGCAUUCCGUGAGGCAUGCCCAUCUCAGCGUUAGAAAAUAUUCUCAAAUUUUAGUUUUGUGCUAAAAUUUGGAUCAUGUCAAGGAAGCUAUUACUAUUAUUGUGAUCGCUCUUUGGAAAUUGAUAGGUCUUUGAGUUGCUACUCAUAGAACGUGAUGAAUCUUUCUUCGUUCUAUUGUAAUUCACUCUGGUAGUCCUAAAACUUGUAUGCCUGUGGCAUAUCUUGUAAUUUGACCUGAGAUUGGGUAGGACUACCCGCUGAACUUAAGCAUAUCAAUAAGCGGAGGA